AUUGAAUUUAAUUUUUGCAGGUGUCAUUUAAUUCUUGUAGGUUCAUUAUGCCAGGAAGUUCUAUGAAAACUUGGUACCAAGUUACAUGAUAUAUGAGGUUGAAUGCCCAGACCAGUUGAAACAAAAGCUGAAGUAAUGAAGUACUAUGUUCAAAGAUGGUGCAAGGCCUCAUCAGAUGUUGGCAUUCGAUCCAUAUAUAGUUGACUGGUCGUACUACAAGCAGCGGCUUUCUUCAGCAAUUCAAAAAAUUGUCAUAAUUCUCGCUGCCAUGCAAACGCUCAUCCGGAUUGGUUGCAUAAGAAAGUUCGUGAAAAAGAGGACAAGUUUCAUCAACAAAAAUUAGUUGAUGUCUUUAACUCAUUUAAAUACUGAUAUUGCCAUUUUUUGUUGUUUAGAUUUGUAAUAUGAUUUAUU